CACUCCGAACGGAGCAGCACACGUACUGGGAAGAGGCUCUGGAGGUCUGACCCGACGACAGCACUCAUCCGCGGACUGAGAAGGAGGGACUGGCCGUAGCAAACAACCACUUUAACCUUUUCAGGAACCUGUGUCAGAGAGAAACACACAGCACGGGGCUGCAAAGACGGAAACCAGUUUGUCUCAAUGCAUUCCAGCCCUGCACAGUCUUGACUUCGGGCGCAGAGAUGUGAAGAUGUUUGAUGUGUAGAGAGCACAACUUGGAGAGAGCAGAGCAAGACUUUAUUCUAAACACAUUUGCCACGGACACUCACUCGGCUUCCUUUGAAGAUUUUGCAUCACGGAUGCCUUGCAGACAGAUCUUUUGCAAAUAGGAUGGGAAUCCAGAGACAGAGGAAAACAGGUGGGAGGGGAAGAGAAAGGGGAUAAAAAAAUGUGUUAAGUCCAUGUGCUUACCCCAAAGAUGCAUGCCAGCAUUAUGUACUGCAAAUAUAUACUAAUAAACUAAAAUCUUUAAAAAAAAAAACUUAAUUUGCCCAGUAACAGGCUUCUGUAAAAACUUGAAAGAAAUUCCUUUUUAUCAUAUUGUUCUCAAUUAAUGAAGUUUUAUCCACUAAUUUGUGCCUCCCACUGUAAGCCAACUCAUUCUUUCCAGACCCUGUAUAGAAAAGAAUUGGAACCCAGGCUGGAACCAAGGUCUAUGACUCAUAAUCCACUCACUUUGUUUCCACUGCCUUGUCUGCUGUGUCACAUUUAUAUUUGAGGGAAGGCAAGAAUGCAGAAAUUGGAGGCAGUCUCCUCCCACUGCUGGCACUUGUAAGGCAAUUGUCUUUAGUACUUUUUAAAUGUUGCCCUGUCUAAGUUCUGCAUAAAUCCUUCCCCGUGAUUUUCAACAAAUCAUACAUCACUGUUUCUCACAAUCUGCUUUCCUAUCUUUAUCUAAAUUCAACUUAAGUGUAGUAAAGAAGACUGAGAAGUUUUGGACUCAGAUGGAUCAGGCUUCUGUGAAACCUUAUUUUUUAGUUUUUAUGAUAUUUUAAAAAGAUAUUUAUCCAAGAACUUGUUGUUUAAUACCUUGCCAAUAAAUACAAGUUUUGGCACAGCACUUUUUAAAAUUAUUUUUUUGCAUUAUACUGGCUGUUUAGGUUUUUAAAUUUUAUUGGGAUUUUGCAGGCACUACCUUAAAAGCAACUCUUGGUAACUAACAUCACCAGUAAAUUUGAAAAAUGAAAUAGAACAAACCUCUGGAUUGCAGCUUAUAAUGGAUAUAUUUUUAAAAUAAGGAUUUCUUAGUGUGUUCUUGCAAAUAUCAACUAUAUUUCAGUACCCUUUUAAUAUAGACAUCUUUGGUUUGCAUCAUUAACAACGGAUUGUUCAAUUUAAGGGAUAAUUUGCACUCUCAAAUAAAAUCGGUGGCCAAUGGACUGACCAACCUAGGUAUUUCAUGAAAAGUAAAUGCUAAUUAAACCAUCAAUUCACUUUUUAAAAAACCAUUGUUAUGGAAACCCUUGAAUAUUCACAAUACUAGACUGAAUAUUAUAAUGGAACCUCGUGUUCCCAUCAUUGGCCCCAGUCUGGCCCCACUCACAUCAUCUACUUUCCCCUCUGGCAUAUCAUUUAGGAUGCAAGUAUCUUAUCUCACCCAUAUGUGUCUGGGUAGGUAUCUUCAAGUAGUAAGUAGUUUUAAAAGAAAGCCACAGUAUGGUCAUCCCACUAAAAAUAGAGUGACAAUUGGUUAAUGUCAUGAAACAUGUAGAGUGUGUCAAAUUUCCAAUGAUUUCAUCAGAAUUGUUUUAGGGUUGUUUCCCUCAUGGCACAAUAAUGUCACACAUUGUGACAGGUUGCCCUUUCUAAUGCUUCAUUUCAUCUAUAGUUUACCUUGACCUCUCUUUCUGUUCAUAUUUCUUGCAAAAACUAAAUUUCUCAUCCUAUAGCAGUUCCCUAGCCUGGAUUCUUAUACAUUUUUCUUAUCCAUUUUUUGCAAAUGGGAGGUUGAUUUAUUUUCCUUUCUUUACUUUUAUUUUUCCU